ACCUGGCUGGCUCAGUUGGAAGAGCACAUGACUCUUAAUCUUGAGGUCGUGAGCUCGAGCCCCACACCGGGUG
rnacentral:tRNA from 1 species